rfam:Triticum aestivum genome assembly, contig: Triticum_aestivum_CS42_TGACv1_scaffold_470986_6AL
AUUCUACUCCCUCCAUUGCACAAUACAUGCCUUCUAUUUGUCAAAAUAUAUAUGUAUCUAGACAUGUUUUAGUAUAUAGGUACAUCCAUUUUUGGACAAAUGGAAGAAAAGUAUUUUGGAACGGAGGGAGUACACA